ensembl:lncRNA
GCUCUCUGGGGCCGGUGCCCUUCACGCUGGGGUUCCACAUAGCAACAAAUGGAGAGAGUGCCCCGGGAGUCCAUUCCCGCAGGGGUUCUUCAGAAGGGCGGUUCUCCACAGCACCUCAGAGACAGCUGUCACUUGGGGUUCAUCCAGUGACAUGGGGCCAACUUGGAGGCAGCUCCUACACAAGCACCUCAGAGUCCCCGGAGGACUGUCCACGGCCGCAAACCCGCCCCUCAUGUGACGGUCUGGUCCCUGCCGCCCCCGCUCCCACUUACCGGGACCUUCCAGGCCGGCAGACUCUACACCGCGUGCCUUGCGCUGCCCAGAGGAGCUCGAGGGCCGGCGUGCUGGGCCAAGGGCAGGCAAAAGGUAGCGCUGGCGGAGCUCCGAGUAGAGGCGUUCACCGCAGAGGCGCAUGCGCCCACGCGAGGCGCUCUUGGCCGCUGGUGGGCUCGUGGGGCGUUCCGCCCCACCCUCCGCGCCUCGAGGUGCGGGCCUCGCGGAUCAGUUGUGGGCGCCGGCGCGCUUGGAGUUGGGGGGACGCGGGAGUGGAGUUCUAUGGGGGUCGGAUGAACCGUGGGCCCAGGUGCCAGUUGGCGCCCCCUUCGAGCACCCUGGUCUGCGGCGCGGGGACUGCACCUGCCGGCCGACUGCGGCAAGGACUGUGUCAGGCCCAAGGGGGCGCAGGGCUGAGCCCGCUAACACUUCCGCUCCUCGUAAAGCCUCUCCACUGCACAGGAAUUCCAUGCCAUAGGAACUCAUACCAUCCUACGGGUUCCUCCAGUGUGAAGACCAACCUCCUGGCCCUGGCCCAUUCCAACUUCAAGAUUCUCUGCCUUAAAAGUCAAAACCCAGCCAAGAUGGGCUCCUAUAGCUCCUCCCUCUAUUGCUUGUGUUAAAGGGAUGGGGCAGUGGUCUCAGUGUUUACACGAUGAUGCUACUGGGAAAUGCAGAGUCCUCGGUCCUUUGGAAGAAAGAAUCAGCCGAGAGAUAAUUUAAAGAGGAGAAUUAAUUGAAGGAAAAUAGAGAGCAGAGAGUAUAUUUGGAAGGACAGUACACUCUAAAAGAUAAGGCAAAGGGGGCUGCUGACAGAGAAUGAGCCAACAGCAGCAGCCCCAAGAGUUCUGCAUUGGGUUUUUGUAUCAGAUUUUCUUGAGGUUCCCACCUCUGUCUUACUUAAGUCUCUGCCUUUUUUUCUUUGUCUAGUUUUCCCACUUCUGCCUUAAGUCCUUGCCUUUAUCCCCACCUAGUUCCCAUCCAGGCCUGUGGGAGUCUCCCUUACUAUUAGUUGGUCUGCAUGCAUGGUCCCCAUGUUGGAUAUGAAUUCUACCUGCAUUGCUCAUUACUGCCACCACAAAAACGUUGUAGAGUGGUCAGAUCUAGACUUAAUGCACCUAUGUAUCUCUUAGGAAUUUCUCCCUUGCUGUCUUCCCCUCCUUAUCGGCCUGUAGCUAGCUAUAUUCUGACAGAUUACCUGCAGAGCAAGCAAUUACUGGGCAUCUUAAGGGGGCAUUUCAGGGUGUUCUUUUCUGCGUAGGUAUUUCCCCUCCUCUCUGCUCAUACCCAGUAUGCAGGUUUGGGGUGGUCUCUGGGGUGCGAGAUUUUCUAGACCUCCCUUUCCUCAGGGGCUCCCUCUCCUGCUCAUGUCUGGCUAUCUGCCUACUCUAACAAUGGGAGCACACUGCUAAACUAUACUAACUGUAGCUAGUGGUAGGGGAAGCUUGUAUGGGUGCUUGGAUGUUGGCUUCUUUGGUAUCAGUAAAUACAAUGGCCAUGUGUAUUUGCUAUCUUGGCCUUUUAAAAAACAAAUCCUAGUAUCCUUGAAAAGAAAACAAUUCAUAAAGCUGGUAUUUCACCAGCAUUUCUCGAGCUCAGAGGGAGGAAAUUCCCUUCCUGUAUAGGAGAGGACAGGAAGUUCUAUUUGAAACGUCUCCGAACUUCUCCAGGCCCUCGUGCCCAAUUUUGUUUGAAAGUCAUGGAUUUUGCAAAUGUUAAGAACAGUUGCUGCUGGCUGGGUGCAGUGAUUCAUACCUACAAUCCCAGCACCUUGGGAGGCUGACGUGGAAGGAUCAAUUGAGCUCAGGAGUUGAAGACCAGAUUGGGUAAUAUAGCAAGACCUUGUCUCUAUUAAAAAUAAAAAUAAUUUA